AAAUUGACCGGCUUUAACCAGCAGAGU
rnacentral:piRNA from 1 species